CGGGCGUACACGGUGCGAAUUCGGAUGGUCGGAAGGUCGUAUGUCAACGCACACGGCACGAGUGAGUUUAUCUGAAAAUCGUACGGACGACAUGAUAUACGACACGAUUUUACAACCUGCGAAUUCCAGAAGCAAUCGCACGAAGUUGAUAGACGCGUUCGAUUUGAAGCAGCGCUGCACGCACAGAAGGAUCACUGUAUGACAUUACCGCGAGAGCGAUAUGACCGCACACAUAUCCAAUGCAUUCGAAUCGCUCUCGCGGUACUUUGAUGUCAUACAGGUGAUCAUUCUGUGCGUGCAGCGGUGCCUCAAGUGGAACGCGCCUAAUAUAACUGCUCUCCCUCUCUCAUAACUGCAAAUAAAAUAUUGAUACGAGCCGUGACUGUUUCCUACACGUACAGGUUAUUUUUCAGCAAUAGGACACCGGGACGUUUGGUUACCCUGUGUGUGUGUUCUUGUAGGCCUAUAUGGUUUAUAAAUAUCUGAAAUGGGUAUUAAAAUGUAAACAUGGUUUAUGAAGACAAUUACUGUGCUCUCGUAAACCAAAUGGCUUUAAAAAAAUACUAUACGGUGUUUAAUAGAAAUUUUAAAUAGUGUAUGGGGAUAUACAGUAUAGAAUACCGUUACGUCUAUGCAGGGCCAGAUUAACACUUUGUUGUACCCUGGGCAACAAUAUUCAAGGGCCCCAUCAUCACGACCCCAGGAUCACCAUAAUAUGGUCAUAUACAAAAUGUAUUACUGUAAUAAACAGUAAAUAUACUCAAUAAUUCAAAUUCUAACUGUCAUCAGGUGUAUUUUGAUUUACAAAUAUUUAAAUGCUCAUAGAACUACAAAUGCACUACUAUGUCCCCUAUCAAAGACAUUCACUCACAUAUGAUGCUAUGAAAACAAAACACAUCAGCAUCUGUAUAAUCUGGUAAAAUUGACCACUACAUUGAGAGGGAGGGAAAUAUUCUCCAUUUUCACAAAAAUGAAUAAAUAAGCAACCACUUUCAAACCAUUGUUUAUUUAACAACAUUUAUUCCCAAUAGAAAUGUAUUGAAUUGAUAGAGCUAUAACAGAAGACCACAGACAACACAUCAAGAAACAAUUUGUUCCUCAGCUCAUUUUAAGCAGAAAUCACCCUGACAGGGUGACCCUGUUUCCCCAGAAUUCAACAAGGCAAUCAAGUUAUUAGUCCAACACAAACAAUUUGAAAUCUGCCGGUUAUCCCUCCACAACAAUUUACAGCAUUUUAAUGAAGCUGGCACCUCAAGGAAAAAAUAAAUAAAUAAAAUGCAGUAUCACUAUUAUCUGCUCAUAAAAUUUUUAUCCUAAACUCAUUUUAACUUGUUUUAAAAUAGAACAACAACAUGUCACAGCACAAUUAACCAGUUAAACAUUUUAGUGCUACAUAAACAUUUAGAAAUCUGUCAAUUUCUCUGAAGAAGACAAGACAGAAAUAAAUGCUACAUAAUCUGGCAAAACACACAUUUUUAGUCCUAAAUAAUGAAGAAGUACAUGUUUGAAUUUGAAAUGCUUUUCGCUCUCGGGGCUGUAAACGUAAGCUGGCGGUGUAGAAAAGUCCUGGCUAGAGGCCUUGGGCCCCUGGGCAAUUGCCCAGUUGCCCGUAUGGUUAAUCCGGCCCUGCGUCUAUGGAGAGUCCCUGUAAACUACAUAUGCGUGUGUGAGCGAGAGAGGGAGAGAGAUGAGAACUAAAAAGGCAUUGAAAUACGUUGCUAGAAACAUCAUACAUCGCUUGCUGUUCCUGUCAGACUUUAGUUGCCGUCUUCGUCUUUCUUCUUCUGUGGUUUUCCUAGUUCGUGAUUGGUCAACUUCAGAUAAAUCAAGAAAUCGGCCAAAACACUUGAACGCCAAGAUACAACAGCUUCAGGUAUCUGUAACUUUUAAUCUUAGUAUUAUAUUUCUUUUUCGGUUUUAAAUUGUGUCUGAUUUAACUUUUGAACAUCUAACAGUUAACGGUUGUGCAGCACAGUCUUUGGGACACACACACACACACCGCUCCGAACUCCCGAACUGAUUCAAAUGAUACAUAAUUCACCCGUGAUGCAGGUAAGACGGUGAAACAGCGUCGCGAUUUCAACGUUGAUCCAAUUUGCAAAAUCGAAAGGUAAUUCAACGUUGAUUCAACCGUGGUGCCUGACGUUGUUUCAACGUUGAAAUGCCGGCUGGGGAGUCAAAUGAUUCGCAAUCCCGCUAUGAACUCCCGAACUGAGUCAAAUGAUUCGCGAUCCCGCUAUGAACUGACUCAAAUGAUUCUCGAUCCCGCUGAACUGACUCAAAUGAUUCGCGAACCCGCUACGAACUCCCGAACUGAGUCAAAUGAUUCACGAACCCGCUCUCCCGAACUGAGUCAAAUGAUUCGCGAUCCCGCUAUGAACUGACUCAAAUGAUUCACGAACCCGCUAUGAACUCCCGAACUGAGUCAAAUGAUUCACGAACCCGCUACGAACUCCCGAACUGAGUCAAAUGAUUCACGAACCCGCUACGAACUCCCGAACUGAGUCAAAUGUUUUGCGAUCCCGCUAUGAACUGACUCAAAUGAUUCGCGAACCCGCUAUGAACUCCCGAACUGAGUCAAAGCGAUCCCGCUAUGGACUGACUCAAAUGAUUCGCGAUCCCGCUACGAACUCCCGAACUGAGUCAAAUGAUUCACGAACCCGCUACGAACUCCCGAACUGAGUCAAAUGAUUCACGAACCCGCUACGAACUCCCGAACUGAGUCAAAUGUUUCGCGAUCACGCUAUGAACUGACUCAAAUGAUUCGCGAACCCGCAUUGAACUCCCGAACUGACUCAAAUGAUUCGGGAUUGUCGUGUUUCUGUGAGUGAGGCAGCUAACUGUGAGCUCAGCUACUGCUCGUUAUAACUGACCACUCAGUCGGUCCCAAAUUAUUUAAUAUUUGCCUGUUAAUUUGUUUUAUUUUGAGCGAAUUUGAGUCGUGACAUGUCAAAGGAGAACAAAAGCUGUGAACACAAGAAGGGUCAGAUGUGUUCUGCGAGGUCCUGCAAACAUACUGGCAAAAUGAGAUGAUCAAGUUAGAUGCUCACCUACUGUCUUGCUGAGUCAUUGAGGAUCCAGUUUAUUCUUGAAACAUUGAAGUUUGCGCUCUGCAAGUGAACGACUCCUUGUGGUUCCAUCCCAAAGAAGUUCACAAUCACUCUCACGGAUCUUUUCCUGGACUGUGUCCAGCUGCUGGAAUGACCUCCCAAUCUCUUUACUCAUUUUCAAGAAAAAUCUAAAGACUCAUCUUUUUCACCAGCACUUUUCCUUCUUUUCUUGCCUUCCAUAUUUAAAAAAAAACAAAAAAACAAACCUGUCUAUGCGUUCUGUACUAGACUAACUGAGACUUGUCAUAGCACUUGUAUACUGUUGUUGUUCUCUUGUUGACCUGACUGCUUCUGUUGUUCUCAUUUGUAAGUAGCUUUGGAUAGAAGCGUCUGUAAAUGAUUAAAUGUAAAUGUUUAUACAGGACGGUACAGAAAGUGCACAAGUGGGAGAGAGUGGAGGGGACGGCGUCAGAAUGGACCUAGCGCUGGGACUCUUUCAAGGAUCACCCGAAGCACAACCACACUAUAUGAUGCACGAGGCUGUUGGUUCUAACAUUUUAGAGUCUCCUUUGGUAGAAAUCUCAUUCUGCAUUCCCCAUGCCCUCUCUCACGCUGGGCCCUUGGAAUGGUCCUAAUCUUGUCCUAAAUUUAGAUUUUGAUUUUAUCUAAUGAAGAAGCGUUCAUGAGCGGAACCGCUUUGAUUACAGCCGUUACUAAAAUUUUGAAAUAUAUUUUACAUUUUUUAUAUUUUUAAAUUAUUCCUGUGAUCAAAGCUGAAUUUUCAGCAUCAUUAUUCCAGUUCUCAGUGUCACAUGAUCUAAUAUGCUGAUUUGCUGAUUAUCAAUAUUUAAAACAGUUGAGUAAAUGUUUUUCAGGAUUCUUUGAUGAAUGCUUUAAAUUGAUCAAAAUUGAUGAUGAAGGUAUUUAUAAUGGUACAAAAGAUUUCUAUUUCAGAUAAAUGCUACUAUUCUGAAUGUUUUUUUCAUCAAAGACACCUGAAAAAAAAUGUACUCUGUUUUCAACAUAACUUUAUUUGAGCAGCAAAUCAGAAUAUUAGAAUGAUUUCUGAAGGAUCAUGUAACUGGAGUAAUGAGGCUAAAAAUAUAACUUUGAAACCACAAGAACAAAUAGCAUUUUAAAAUAUAUUAAAAUAGAAAACAUUUUUAAGUAGUAAAAUAUAAGAAUGUUACUGUUUGCUGUAUUUUGGAUCAAAUAAAUUAAGGCUUGCUGAGCAGAAGAGAAUUCUUUAAAAACAUUAAAAAUCUUACUUUUCAAAAACUGUGACUGGUAGUGUAUGCUUGCCUAUAGUUUGAAGUUAAAGAUAUGAAUAUUACUUACGUGAGUCUGAUGACGGUGAUUUGACUGAUUUCACAUUUCUUGUUUGUAUGAAGGCUAAACACAAAUAAAAGGAGAAUGUAAAUUUA